UACCAGCACCCCGAGUGGUCGGGACGAUUAUUGGGCCUAAAGCAUCCGUAGCCGGCCUUACAAGUCCUCCGUUAAAUCCAGCUGCUUAACAGAUGGGCUGCGGAGGAUACUAUAAGACUAGGAGGCAGGAGAGGCAAGCGGUACUCAGUGGGUAGGGGUAAAAUCCGUUGAUCCAUUGAAGACCACCAGUGGCGAAGGCGGCUUGCCAGAAUGCGCUCGACGGUGAGGGAUGAAAGCUGGGGGAGCAAACCGG
rnacentral:rRNA from 2 species